rnacentral:misc_RNA from 1 species
UGGGCUUCGACUUCACUGGCUUCGGUAUCGAUUGGCGAGACUAGUUCAGCAAGGUCACACUCAGCUGCUGAAAGGAGAUGAGAAGGUAGGGUUGAAUUAUCUUAAACGGAGGUAAAAUUUGUUUUCAGAUUAAAGCUGUAUUUGGUUGUAUGAUUCCUGAUACAGCCGGUAGGAACGAGAUUAGCCAUUGCCGGAUUUUUCGUACCUGUAAGAUUUGCCUCUAUUUCUA